CGCCCUCGUUCUGUCGGUUGUGUUGCGGCCUGUGGAGCUUCUACGCUGGACUUCGUGGAUUGCAGAUUACAACCGGUGGCGUCUGACAGGCGGAGAAAUGACAUGACACCCAAAAGAGACUGUACCAACGGCGUCUUUCGAUAACCACUGGCCUAUCGAGUGAUGACACAGCCUGCACAGCCUGCGCCUAUCCAGGACGCUUAUCUCCGCAAAGAACUGUAGAGCAAGCGAUCGCACAGAUUCUGACGGACGGACAAGUGCUUCUGUUACUACGAACUAUUUGCACUAUUUGUGCUUUCCGCAUGUGGUUCAGAAGAAGGCGCCAGACAAAUGUACGCAU